AUUGAACGCUGGCGGCAUGCUUUACACAUGCAAGUCGAACGGCAGCACAGGGAGCUUGCUCCUGGGUGGCGAGUGGCGAACGGGUGAGUAAUGUAUCGGAACGUGCCUGGUAGUGGGGGAUAACUACUCGAAAGAGUGGCUCAUACCGCAUGAGAUCUUUGGAUGAAAGCGGGGGACCUUCGGGCCUCGUGCUCCUGGAGCGGCCGAUAUCAGAUUAGGUUGUUGGUGGGGUAAAGGCCUACCAAGCCUGCGAUCUGUAGCUGGUCUGAGAGGACGACCAGCCACACUGGGACUGAGACACGGCCCAGACUCCUACGGGAGGCAGCAGUGGGGAAUUUUGGACAAUGGGCGCAAGCCUGAUCCAGCAAUGCCGCGUGCAGGACGAAGGCCUUCGGGUUGUAAACUGCUUUUGUACAGAACGAAAAGUCUCUGGCUAAUAUCUAGAGAUCAUGACGGUACUGUAAGAAUAAGCACCGGCUAACUACGUG
rnacentral:rRNA from 1 species